rnacentral:rRNA from 1 species
AAACAUGUCUUUUUGAAUUAUAUUUAAAGUCUGACCUGCCCACUGAAUAAUAGUUUUAAAUGGCCGCAGUAUUUUGACUGUGCAAAGGUAGCAUAAUCAUUAGUCUUUUAAUUGGAGGCUGGUAUGAACGGUUGGACGAAGUAUAAGCUGUUUCAUAUAAAUUUAUAAUAGAAUUUUAUAUUUUAGUUAAAAAGCUAAAAUUUUAUUAAAAGACGAGAAGACCCUAUAAAUCUUUAUAAUUAAUACUAACUAAAUUUUUUUGAUUUAUUUUAUUUUUUUUGAUAUUGAUUAUUUUGUUGGGGUGAUGUUAAAAUUUAAUGAACUUUUAAUUUUUUUAAAUCAUUAAUUUAUGAAUUAUUGAUCCAUUAAUAGUGAUUAUAAGAUUAAGUUACUUUAGGGAUAACAGCGUAAUUUUUUUUGAGAGUUCAUAUCGACAAAAAAGUUUGCGACCUCGAUGUUGGAUUAAGGUAUAAUUUUGGGUGUAGCCGUUCAAAAAUUAAGUCUGUUCGACUUUUAAAUCCUUACAUGAUC